UACGGAGGGCGCAAGCGUUAUUCGGAAUCACUGGGCGUAAAGCGCGAGUAGGCGGCUUGGUAAGUCAGGUGUGAAAGCCCUGGGCUCAACUCCGGAACUGCAUCCGAAACUACCUCGCUCGAGUCCCGGAGAGGGUGGUGGAAUUCCCGGUGUAGAGGUGAAAUUCGUAGAUAUCGGGAGGAACACCAGUGGCGAAGGCGGCCACCUGGACCGUUUCUGACGCUGAGGUGCGAAAUCGUGGGGAGCAAACAGG
rnacentral:rRNA from 1 species